rnacentral:rRNA from 1 species
CAGUCGCCGCGGUAACACGAAGGGUGCAAGCGUUAAUCGGAAUUACUGGGCGUAAAGCGUGCGUAGGCGGUUUGUUAAGUCUGUUGUGAAAUCCCCGGGCUCAACCUGGGAAUGGCAAUGGAUACUGGCAAGCUAGAGUGUGUCAGAGGAUGGUGGAAUUCCCGGUGUAGCGGUGAAAUGCGUAGAGAUCGGGAGGAACAUCAGUGGCGAAGGCGGCCAUCUGGGACAACACUGACGCUGAGGCACGAAAGCGUGGGGAGCAAACAGGAUUAGAUACCCGCGUAGUCCCUGUCUCUUAUAC